GGCCGAGCAGGUGGCUUUUAGCCGAGCGGUCUUCGGGGAUGAUUUCCGUAAAGGUGCAUGAGUGGGUGUUGGUUUGUUGCGGAUGGUUGGAUGUCUGCUUGCGCAGCAACUUCCAUGCGGGCUUACCUCUUCAGUUGUGCUACAAGCCUUGUUUGGCUUGCAGCAUUCGGUGGGUUUCUUGUGUUGAUUACCUAAUCGAUGGCAUUGUUUGUCCCCAUUAGUUGGAUUUUGUAACACGUUGCUUGCGGCGUGAUACAAACAAUGAAGCAACCUUUGUUGUUCAACCUGUUGCUGCUCAUGCAUCGAUGGCUUGGCCCAUGAAGUGUUGAUUGGUCCCUUGGAUAUGGAACAUGAUGUGGGCACAAGUUUGUCAAAGAUCUUGUAUUUGCCCUAUUGAGUGAUUUAGCUU
rnacentral:misc_RNA from 1 species